GCGCGAAGUCUCUUCAAUGCACGACAGUGUGAAAGGGGAAUCCUACGUGCUUAUGCUUAGCAUAAGCUUUUGCAUAGUGUAAGUAACUAUGCGAAUAAGGGAUGGGAAAGACCGGUGCCAGCAGCCGCGGUAACCCCGGCGUCCCGAGUGGUAAUCAGUAUUAUUGGGUCUAAAGCAUUCGUAGCCGGACUUUUAAAUUUCUUGUGAAAUCGCUCAGCUUAACUGAGUGGCGUGCAGGAAAGACUGGAAGUCUAGGAACUGGGAGGAGUUAGAGGUAUUCUGGGGGGAGCGGUAAAAUGUGAUAAUCCCCGGAGGACCACCUGUGGCGAAGGCGUCUAACUAGAACAGAUUCGACGGUGAGGAAUGAAGGCUAGGGGAGCAAAACGG
rnacentral:rRNA from 1 species